rnacentral:piRNA from 1 species
UAAGUUGCCAUGGCUUGAUUAUAUUUCCCCUU